GAGGAGGAUGGCAGCAAAAAGGAAGAACCUGGCUAUAAAAAUUAUCUUACAAAGAAACCUACCAUCAAGGUAUUGAUAGUCAAAAAACAUGCGGAGGAACUCAAACGAGUGAAAAUGGAGUGGUCUGCAGUAAUUGCCCCCACAACAUCUGAGCCACAGCCUGGACCUUCAUCAGAGCAGUCCCCUGUUCCAGAAAACCUGUGGCAGACAAACCAACAAUGUAACAGUGGACUCCAUCAUUGAGGUCCAGCACUACUUUGUGGAGGGAAACAUUCCAACAUCAGAGGAUCCUUUAACGUACUGAGGGAAUAGGUAGACAUCUUAUCUGAACUUUUUCCACCUGGCUUUACAGUUUUUGUGUACCCCAGCUUCAUCUGUGCCCUGUGAGUGUGUGUUUUCCAACGCUGGGGAAAUGGUGUCAAAUAAACGCAAGAGAAAACAUUGGAUAAAGUUAUUUUUCUGAAUAAAAAUUCAUAAUAAACUCUGAGUCAAUUACAUUUAAAUGGGUAAUAUUACAUUCACAAUACUUUUAUUUUAAUUUUCACUUAAUCUCUUUCACACUAUAUUUUAAAUGUCUACAAUAUUUGAAAUGUAAAAGGUAUAAAAUGAUUGCAUGCAAAGUACAAUACCUUACAGUGUACAAGUAUAACUAGGUCAUUGAAUCAGUGUCUGUUGUGAGUCUCAAGUCAGUUGCCUGCAAUGAUAUUUAAGGUCCAGCAGGUGUCAGUAUGGAGCAAAACAGCAACACUGUGUCGACACAGUAUCGAUACAGUUUGGGGAAUGUGCUGAAACGCUUCACGAGGCCUCAUCUAUCCAUCACUAUUGCUUGGUAUCCUGAAUCUGAAGGUAGAGCAUGAACCAAGGAUUUGUGCCAAGAUUAAUCCAGAAACUGCAGCACAAGAAAGUUUCGGUAACCAGGUAAAUCACAGUGAGAACUUGAAACAUGAACACCAGUUACCAACAUGGCCCAUGCAGUAAAUCUUAUUGAUUUACUGCAAAAGGACUCAAGAAGUGAAAGUUAUCAGGCCUUAUUCCAGUUUUUAAAAUAGAGUAAAUUGUUUGGAAGAAUUUGAGGGUCGAUGUUCCAGUUUACACUCCACACCAGUUGGUGGCGGUAAUUCACCAUUUUGUUGUUUGACAACAACAAAUACAAUUUCUAGGAAAAGGAAGAAGAAGGAUGGGCGAAACAAAUCGAGGAUGAUCCACGAGAGGAGGGCCGUUUAUCAAUGCCCAAGUACGCGAGCACGGACUCAUGAUUUGUACAGUCGGAACACCAGCGUACGUGAUGAUGUCACAGGUCCGGAGUUUUUACUGCCAUCCCCUCUUAAUGUAAC